GAUGAACGCUGGCGGCGUGCUUAACACAUGCAAGUCGAACGAUGAAGCCCAGCUUGCUGGGUGGAUUAGUGUCGAACGGGUGAGUAACACGCGAGCAACCUGCCCCUGACUCUGGGAUAAGCGCUGUAAAAGGCGUCUAAUACUGGAUAUGUCCCGUCACCGCAUGGUGUGCGUGUGGAAAGAUUUUUCGGGUGGGGAUGGGGUCGCGGCCUAUCAGCUUGGUGGCGGGGUAAUGGCCCACCAAGGCGCCGACGGGGAGCCGGGCUGAGAGGGUGACCGGCCACACUGGGACUGAGACACGGCCCAGACUCCUACGGGAGGGAGCAGUGGGGAAUAUUGCACAAUGGGCGGAAGCCUGAUGCAGCGACGCCGCGUGAGGGAUGACGGCCUUCGGGUUGUAAACCUCCUUUAGCAGGGAAGAAGCGAAAGUGACGGUACCUGCAGAAGAAGCACCGGCUAACUACGUG
rnacentral:rRNA from 1 species